rnacentral:rRNA from 1 species
CCCUGCCAUUUGUACACACCGCCCGUCGCUACUACCGAUUGAAUGGCUCGGUGAGGCCUUCGGACUGGCCCAGGGAGGUCGGCAACGACCACCCAGGGCCGGAAAGUUGGUCAAACCCGGUCAUUUAGAGGAAGUAAAAGUCGUAACAAGGUC